rnacentral:snRNA from 1 species
AUACUUACCUGUCAGGCGUGAUACCAUGAUCAGGUCGCACUCCGGAUGUCCUGACCCCUGUGAUUUCCCCAAAUGUGGGGAACCCGGUACAUAAUUUGUGGUGGUGGGGGACUGUGUUUGUGCUCUCCCCUG